rnacentral:lncRNA from 1 species
AAAAAGUUGAAAAGCUUCGGAAAAAGAAGAAGAAAAAAAAAUGAGAAGUAGAAUAAAGCACUUACCUAGAGGAGGAUUUAGUUUGAAAAAUUCGAAAAGCAAGCUCAAAGAAACACUUGAGUGCAAACUAAAGAAUCCUAAUAGAACAGUGUCUGAAACUCUUGAUUGUGAACAUUUCAAAAAACAUAGUGAUGAGAGUGACAACACGGAAUAUGAGCCAAAGACCACUCGUCUUU